rnacentral:rRNA from 1 species
AGAGUUUGAUCCUGGCUCAGAUUGAACGCUGGCGGCAGGCCUAACACAUGCAAGUCGAGCGGAUGAGUGGAGCUUGCUCCAUGAUUCAGCGGCGGACGGGUGAGUAAUGCCUAGGAAUCUGCCUGGUAGUGGGGGACAACGUUUCGAAAGGAACGCUAAUACCGCAUACGUCCUACGGGAGAAAGUGGGGGAUCUUCGGACCUCACGCUAUCAGAUGAGCCUAGGUCGGAUUAGCUAGUUGGUGAGGUAAAGGCUCACCAAGGCGACGAUCCGUAACUGGUCUGAGAGGAUGAUCAGUCACACUGGAACUGAGACACGGUCCAGACUCCUACGGGAGGCAGCAGUGGGGAAUAUUGGACAAUGGGCGAAAGCCUGAUCCAGCCAUGCCGCGUGUGUGAAGAAGGUCUUCGGAUUGUAAAGCACUUUAAGUUGGGAGGAAGGGCAGUAAGUUAAUACCUUGCUGUUUUGACGUUACCAACAGAAUAAGCACCGGCUAACUUCGUGCCAGCAGCCGCGGUAAUACGAAGGGUGCAAGCGUUAAUCGGAAUUACUGGGCGUAAAGCGCGCGUAGGUGGUUCGUUAAGUUGGAUGUGAAAGCCCCGGGCUCAACCUGGGAACUGCAUCCAAAACUGGCGAGCUAGAGUAUGGCAGAGGGUGGUGGAAUUUCCUGUGUAGCGGUGAAAUGCGUAGAUAUAGGAAGGAACACCAGUGGCGAANGCGACCACCUGGGCUAAUACUGACACUGANGUGCGAAAGCGUGGGGAGCAAACAGGAUUAGAUACCCUGGUAGUCC